rnacentral:rRNA from 1 species
UAUCAAUAAGCGGAGCAGAAGGGUCCCUGCCUAGCACUANGCUGGAACACAAGGCACGCUGCCUUUAAUUAGCACCCCCAUCUAGUGUUCCUUGGAACAGGACGUCAUANAGGGUGAGAAUCCCGUGCGAUGGGGUGUCCAUUCUUUGUAAGUUUCCUUCGACGAGUCGAGUUGUUUGGGAAUGCAGCUCUAAGUGGGUGGUAAAUUCCAUCUAAAGCUAAAUAUUGGCGAGAGACCGAUAGCGAACAAGUACAGUGAUGGAAAGAUGAAAAGAACUUUGAAAAGAGAGUGAAAAAGUACGUGAAAUUGUUGAAAGGGAAGGGUAUUUGAUCAGACUUGGUAUUAGAAUAUGGCAGCUCUCGGGUUGUCCUCUAUUCUUUUACUGGGCCAGCAUCGGUUCGGAUGGCAAGAUAAUUACGUUUGAAUGUGGCCUCCUUGGAGUGUUAUAGCUUUCGUAGAUAUUGCCUGUCUGGACCGAGGACUGCGUCUUUUGCACUAGGAUGCUGGCGUAAUGAUUUAAUACC